UUUUAAUAGGCCCUCAAAUACCUACACAGGCAUCCCCAGAUCAGGAAAUACCAAUGCUGUCUGGGGGAACUGGAAAUGAUUCAAGCCUCCAUCACAGUCAGGGAGUCUACAUUCUGUAAUCUGUGGACCACUGGCUGGCUGGUCCAGAAGUCUAUAGAGUAUCUUAACACUACAUGUUAAAUGUGAUAUUGUAGAAUCUGGUUGGUAU